rnacentral:rRNA from 1 species
ACUCCUACGGGAGGCAGCAGUAGGGAAUCUUCCACAAUGGGCGCAAGCCUGAUGGAGCAACACCGUGUGAGUGAAGAAGGGUUUCGGCUCGUAAAGCUCUGUUGUUAAAGAAGAACACGUAUGAGAGUAACUGUUCAUACGUUGACGGUAUUUAACCAGAAAGUCACGGCUAACUACGUGCCAGCAGCCGCGGUAAUACGUAGGUGGCAAGCGUUAUCCGGAUUUAUUGGGCGUAAAGAGAGUGCAGGCGGUUUUCUAAGUCUGAUGUGAAAGCCUUCGGCUUAACCGGAGAAGUGCAUCGGAAACUGGAUAGCUUGAGUGCAGAAGAGGGUAGUGGAACUCCAUGUGUAGCGGUGGAAUGCGUAGAUAUAUGGAAGAACACCAGUGGCGAAGGCGGCUACCUGGUCUGCAACUGACGCUGAGACUCGAAAGCAUGGGUAGCGAACAGGAUUAGAUACCCUGGUAGGAUACCG